rnacentral:rRNA from 1 species
CCUACGGGAGGCAGCAGUAAGGAAUAUUGGUCAAUGGGCGGAAGCCUGAACCAGCCAUGCCGCGUGCAGGAAGACGGCCUACGGGUUGUAAACUGCUUUUGCAGGGGAAUAUGUACCUUGAGAAUAAGGAUCGGCUAACUCCGUGCCAGCAGCCGCGGUAAUACGGAGGAUCCAAGCGUUAUCCGGAUUUAUUGGGUUUAAAGGGUGCGUAGGUGGCUUUUUAAGUCAGGGGUGAAAGACGGUAGCUUAACUAUCGCAGUGCCUUUGAUACUGAAGAGCUUGAAUCCACUAGAGGUAGGCGGAAUGUGACAAGUAGCGGUGAAAUGCAUAGAUAUGUCACAGAACACCAAUUGCGAAGGCAGCUUACUAUGGUGGAUUGACACUGAGGCACGAAAGCGUGGGGAUCAAACAGGAUUAGAUACCCUUGUAGUC